CCGGAGCUUGCUCCACCGGGAAAAGAGGAGUGGCGAACGGGUGAGUAACACGUGGGUAACCUGCCCAUCAGAAGGGGAUAACACUUGGAAACAGGUGCUAAUACCGUAUAACAAUCGAAACCGCAUGGUUUCGUUUUGAAAGGCGCUUUACGGUGCCGCUGAUGGAUGGACCCGCGGUGCAUUAGCUAGUUGGUGAGGUAACGGCUCACCAAGGCCACGAUGCAUAGCCGACCUGAGAGGGUGAUCGGCCACAUUGGGACUGAGACACGGCCCAAACUCCUACGGGAGGCAGCAGUAGGGAAUCUUCGGCAAUGGACGAAAGUCUGACCGAGCAACGCCGCGUGAGUGAAGAAGGUUUUCGGAUCGUAAAACUCUGUUGUUAGAGAAGAACAAGGGUGAGAGUAACUGUUCACCCCUUGACGGUAUCUAACCAGAAAGCCACGGCUAACUACGUGCCAGCGAGCCGCGGUAAUACGUAGGUGGCAAGCGUUGUCCGGAUUUAUUGGGCGUAAAGCGAGCGCAGGCGGUUUCUUAAGUCUGAUGUGAAAGCCCCCGGCUCAACCGGGGAGGGUCAUUGGAAACUGGGAGACUUGAGUGCA
rnacentral:rRNA from 1 species